rnacentral:lncRNA from 10 species
UUAAUGACUCCAAAAAUAGUAAGAAAAGGAAAGAACAAAGUUCAUGAGAUCAACUAUGAAGCAGAGACAGGAUCUCACUAUGUUCCCCAGGCUCUCAUUGUCUUUUUCUUAAAGGUAAUUAGACACUAAAUUAUCCUAAAUGUGCCAAUAAACAAUAUAAUUCUAUGCUUCUGUUAAUCUUUCUGGUUCUUCCCUCUCUCCCCUUUUGAGAAAAAUGGGAAGUUCUUUAUGGAUUGUGGAUUAUGAGUUUUGACCUUGGCCAGGAUGAAUGAGUGAGGAUUAGGUACCUGAGGAAAAAGACACCUAAUAGGGACUCUCCAUAUAGAAUAGGGACUAAAUGACCUUAUCAUAUUCUUCCUCUGAGGGGAAGUUGAAUGUGGGAAGAGAGGCAACAUUUGAGAUGCAUAGAGGAGACAUCAGAAUGAAAGAGAAUGAGAGCCAGUGUGGUGGCAUGUGCCUGUAGUUCCAGCCACUUGGGAGGCUGAAGCAGGAGAUCACUUGAGCCCAGGAGUUCAAAGUUACAGUGAGCUAUGGUUGCGUCACUCCAGUCCAGCUUGGGUGACAGAGCAAGUCCCCUGUCUUUAAAAUAAUAAUAAUACCAAUAAAAGAAUGGAAGAUAGAGAAGUGUGGCUGUAGUAUCCUUCAAACUGUAAUAGAAAAAGGUGGCCUGUAGAAUCAGUGCUGGUGACAAAGUUAUGCUUAGCGGGGAGAAACAUCGGAAACUGCCUUUGAUGAGCUAUUAUGGCUAUAGAAACACUGAUCUUGAAGACAUACCCUGUCUAGUUUAGAAGUGAGACAAAAAGAUAGUUGAGGUCAGGGUGAGUCAGGAGAGAAGACGAGUCAAUGAAGAGGCAAAGGGGCUUGAGAAACACAAGAAGAUAUAGGUUGAAUACGAGAGACAACCAGUGAACCUUUCUUGUGAAAAGGGAUGGUCGAUAACAUUUUUAGUAGCAGGAAUGUCUAAACCUCAUUUUUUGUUUUUGUUGGCUCUGCAACCCGCCUCUAUGGCCCUAGACCUUCAGUCUUGAGUUGACAGUGUUCCUGAAAGUAAGGGGAUUACAAAGGAUCCAUCAGCUUGAUACAAAGUAGAAAAUGCAAUGAAGAACAGUUGCUAAGAAUUUAGUGGAAGCAGAAACUCAGCUUUGAAAAGUAACCACCCCUGCCCGUCCUCCCACCUCCGAUUCCAAGCACCCAGAGAUAUUCGUCCAGAGAUAUUCAGGGAUGCCAAGUUACCUAACAUAUAUGGCGUGUAGGUUUGAGACAAUUUACUUAAAUCUUGGAAGACAAGGUUCUAUGGGUUGAAUACAUCCCCUCCAAAAUUCAGGUGUUGCCAAUGUGAUAGAGAGGUGUGUCAUUUAAGAAGUGAUGAGGCCAUGGGAACGCCUCCCUCAAUGGGAUUAAGGCUUCAUGCAGCUUGCCCUUCCAUCUUCAGCCAUGUGGGAACUUGGCAAGAAGUCCUUCACCAGACCAAAUGCCAUGCCUAUCUUGGACUUCCCAGCUUUCAAAUUGUGAGAAAUAAAUUUCUUUUCUUUAUGAAUGACUCAGUCUUGAGUAUUUUCUUAUAGCAGCACAAAACCGACUAUGACACAAGGUGAGUCAAGCAAGUGCAAUACUUGGGGGUAUUCAAGAGGCUGAUACAUGACAUGAUAGCACAGUUCUCUGUUACUUAGAUUGGUAUUUUUCAAAGAGCAUCUUAUUACUAGCUUUGUAAGUUACUCCUCACCAAACUCCUUGCCAAAUUUUAAUAAUUUUAAUAUACAUGGAAUAUUUAGAUACAUUGAAUUCUCAAAUAGGAAAUUAUAUUUUCAUAUACCAGCAAAUUGAAAUUAAAACAGAAAUAUCAUUUACAGAAGUAUCAAAAAUUAUAUUUAGGGAUAAAUCUGACCAAAUUUGUGGAAGAUCUAUCUGUACACUGGAAACUACAAAAUGUUGCUGAAAGAAGUUAAAGAAAGCUUCAAUAAAUGAAGAUAUAUACCUUCUGCAUGGGCUGGAAGACUCAAUAUUUUUAAGAUAUCAGUUCUCCUCAAAUUGAUUUAUAGAUUCAACAUAAUCCCAACCAAAAUCUCAGCAGACUUAAAAAAAAAUGGGAACUGGCAAGCUGGUAUGGGAAUGCCAAGGACCUAGAAUAACUGCCACAACUUCAGAAGAAGAAGAAAAAAAAGAACAAAGUUGAAAGGCUAUACUAUUGGAUUUUAACCAUUAUUAUUAAAAUAUAAUAAUCAAAACAGGGUGGUAUUGGCAUGAAGAUAGACAAUUACACUAAAGAAGCGGAAUAGAUAACUCUGAAAUAGACCCACACAUGGACAAUGACUUUUUUAGAGUGGUACAAAGGUAAUGCAAUGGGAACAGUGUAGAUUUUUUCAACAAAUGGUGCUGGAACAAUUGGAUAUCCAUAUCUCUAUCUAUAUGUAUAUAAAGGAACUUGGAUUGAUGCCAUGCAACAUAUACAAAAACUAACUCAAAAUAGGUCAUAUAUGUCAAUGUAAAACCUAAACUCUUAGAAGAAAACAUGGGAGAAAACCUUUGUAACCUUCGGUUCAGCAAAUAUUUCUUAGAUAAAACACCAAAAUCGGCCAGGCAUGGUGGCUUACACCUAUAAUCCCAGCAAUUUGGGAGGCUGAGGCAGGUGGAUCACUUGAGGUCAGGAGUUGGAGACUAGCCUGGCUAACAUGAUGAAACCCUGUCUCUACUAAAAAUAUAAAAAUUAGCUGGGAGUGGUGGCUUGCACCUGUAGCUCCAGCUACGUGGGAGGCUGAGGCACAAUAAUUGCUUGAACUCGGGAGGCAGAGGUUGCAGUGAGCCAAGAUUGUGCCACUGCACUCCAGCCUGGGCAAGAGCGAGAUCCUGUCUCAAAAACAAACAACCCACCAAAAUCACAACCAAUAAAAGGAUGAAUUGAUAAAUUAGACUUCAUCAAAAUUUAAAAUUUCUAUUUUUCAAAGACACUAUUAAGAGAAUGAAAAGACAAGCCACAUAGUGAGAUAAAAUCUUUGGCCAGAAUAUAUUUGAUAAAGGACUUGGACACUUGAAACUCAACAAUAAGAAAACAAAUAACCCAAUUAAAAUAAUGGGCUAAAGAUUUGAACAGACAUUUCUCCAAAGAAGAUAUAUAGAUGACAAGUAAUUGCAUGAAAAGGUGCCCAAUAUCAUUACUCAUUAGGUAAAUGCAAAUUAAAAACUGCAGUGAGAUACUACUACAUACCUAUAAAAAUGAUUAAAAUUAAAACGAUUCACCAUACCAAGUGUUGGUGAGAAUGUGGAGGAACUAAGUAUCUCAUAUACUGCCAGUAGAAAUGUAAAAUGGUACAAUCACUUUGUAAACCAGUUUGAGAGUUACUUAAAAAGUUAGAUGUAUGGUGGCAAGAUGGUGAAAUAGAAGCCUACACCACUUGCCCCCAACCACUGGAACACCAAAUUUAACAACUAUAGAGAAAAACACCAUCACAAGAAGCAAAUAUCAGGUGAGAAAUCAGAGUACCAUACUUUAACUUCAUAUCACUGAAAGAGUCACUGAUGAGGGCAGGAGAGACAGUCGUCUUGAAUCGCCAAUGCCAUACCUCUCACAUCCCCAUCUCAACUCCUCAGCACAGAGAAUCUGUGCAUUUUGGGGAGGGAGAGUGCUGCAAUUGGAGGACUUUACAUUGAACUCAGUGCUACCUGUCACAGUGGAGAAUAAAGCUAUGCUGGGCUCAGCAAAUGCCUGUGCAUGGAGAGAGCAUUGGGACCACCCUUAGCCAGAGGGGAAUUGCCCAUUCCAAUGAUCAGAACUUGAAUUUCUAGGAGUGUGGGCUGAAGUGCCCUGGGGGUUCUAGGUAAACUUGAAAGGCAGUUUAGAACACAAAGACUGCAAUUGCUAGGCAACUCCUAGUGCUAGCCCAGGCUUAGAGCCAGUGGACUUGGGUGGCAUGUAACCUAGGGAGACAUCAGCUGACGUGGCUAAGGGAGAACUUGUGCUCACGCAACAAAAGUGACUCCUUUCUUCUGCUUAAGGAUAGGAAAGUGAAGAAUUAAGAGGACGAUGUCUUGCAUCUUGGAUAUCAGCUCAGCCACUGUAGGAUAGGCCACCGGGCAGAGUCCUGAGGCCCUCAUUCCAGGCCCUACUUUCCAGAUGACAUUUUGAGACACACACUGGUGCAAAAGAACCUGCUGCCUCGAAGGGAAGGACCUAGUCCUGGCAGGAUUAAUCACCUGCUGACUAAGGAGCCCUUGGGCCCUGAAUAGCCAGCAGUGAUACCCAGGGACCACACUGUGGGCAUUGGGCUCUGAGAUGUGCUGACUUCAGGGGUGACUCAGCACAUUCCCAGCUGUGGUGGCUAUGGUGAAAGACUCCUGUUUGAUAAAAGCUUUUAUUAAAGACUGUAUGUCUUUAUAGGUGGACACCAUUUCUGGACCUGCCCUGGGUCAGAGGAGAGCCUACUGCCCUGAAAGGUGAGUGGGUAAACAAAUUGUGGUGUACCAUGCACGGCAUAUAAUGCAUGGUAUACAAUGCAAUACUACUCAACAACAAAGAAGAAUGCACCGUGGAUACAUUCAACAACAAGGACAAAUCUAAUUAUGCUUUAUGAGUUAAAGAAGCUAAUCUAAAAAGAGUAUAUACUGUGUGAUUUCAUUCAUGUGAAACUAUAAAAUGCAAACAAAUCUAUAUUGACAAAAAUUAAAUCAAUUUCUUUGGGUAUGGGAGGGUCAACUAAGGGAGGGUCUGUGGUGAAGAGUGAGAAAGGGAUUAUGAAAAGGCAUGAGGAAAUUUUGGGCAGUGAGCAUAUGUUUACUAUUUUCAUUAUAAUUUCAUGGGUGUAUACAUAUGUCAAAAUGUAUCAAACUACAUUUAAAUAUAUGCAGUUAAUUUUAUAUCAAACAUAGCUCAAUAAAACAUUAUUUUAAAGAUGUGGUUUCAACAACUUUUGAGUAAGAUGUUAUUCAACUGGAAAUGUUCACCUUGAGGUUGGAAAAGUGGGUCUGGAACUUGGGGGAGAAGCUGGGGGAAAAUAUUUUAGGAGUAAGCUGUCCCUCCCUUUCCCUCUCUCCCUGUCUUGCUCAUUCUCUUUGCUUUUUUCCUUCCUUCAUCUCUCUACCACAGCAAUUUGUUCUGGUGAUACUAUUUACAUAGAGUUGAUAAUGGAAGGCGUGUGAAAGGCUGAUUGCAUUAAAUAGGUAUAAAGAACAGUUAUUGAGGAAAGAAAUGUGGAAAUAUUUGGGGGAUGUUGAAGAGUAAGAGAAAUGAGAAAUAAUCAGAAGGAUGGUCAGCACAUAGGAAAAUAAUUAGUAGAAGGGAAUGUCACGGAAUCCAAAGAAGAAGAAAGUUUUAAAAAUAGUGGGUGAUUAUUAGUGUCACAUGUUAUAGGGUUUCAUUUAGCUUCUUUAAUGAACUUAACUAUAAAAUCCAAUUAUUUAGAGCACUCCAUUCCCCCCCACCAUUGUAGUUAACUGAGAUGUUAUAACAUAUAACCGUACAUAUGUGUUUAAGCCUCUCCACGGAAAUAAUUCCCUCUGCUAAUAGGCUUAUUCAUUUGCAAAGAUAUCAAAGUACAAAGAAAAAUAAUUCA